GAAACUUUAGUAAUAAAGUAAUAGUCAUUGUACAAUUACUAUUGUAUAUUACAUCAAUUAUCAACUAUAUAAUUAAAAGUGUAAACUUAAUUUUACCAAAUUUUGAAUUUUUUAUAUUACAGACUUACAGUGUAUAUGUGAGACAGUGAGAGAGGGUGAGAGAGAGAGAGUGACUUGCUAACUUUGAUUUAUUGUUUAUGCAAUUAAGUAAUCAUAUUUAGUGUAAAAAGUAGUGUUUAAUAAUCCAAUUAAACAAUGUCAC
rnacentral:lncRNA from 1 species